UUUAAUGAGAGUUUGAUCCUGGCUCAGGACGAACGCUGGCGGCGUGCCUAAUACAUGCAAGUAGAACGCUGAGGUUUGGUGUUUACACUAGACUGAUGAGUUGCGAACGGGUGAGUAACGCGUAGGUAACCUGCCUCAUAGCGGGGGAUAACUAUUGGAAACGAUAGCUAAUACCGCAUAAGAG
rnacentral:rRNA from 1 species